AACGAACGCUGGCGGCAUGCCUAACACAUGCAAGUCGAACGAAGUCUUCGGACUUAGUGGCGCACGGGUGCGUAACGCGUGGGAAUCUGCCCUUGGGUGCGGAAUAACUUCUCGAAAGGGAUGCUAAUACCGCAUAAUGUCGUAAGACCAAAGAUUUAUCACCCAAGGAUGAGCCCGCGUAAGAUUAGCUAGUUGGUGGGGUAAAAGCCUACCAAGGCGACGAUCUUUAGCUGGUCUGAGAGGAUGAUCAGCCACACUGGGACUGAGACACGGCCCAGACUCCUACGGGAGGCAGCAGUGGGGAAUUUUGGACAAUGGGGGCAACCCUGAUCCAGCAAUGCCGCGUGAGUGAAGAAGGCC
rnacentral:rRNA from 1 species